rnacentral:rRNA from 1 species
UCUGGAGACAGGUGCUGCAUGGCUGUCGUCAGCUCGUGUCGUGAGAUGUUGGGUUAAGUCCCGCAACGAGCGCAACCCUGCCUUUAGUUGCCAGCAGUUCGGCUGGGCACUCUAAAGGGACUGCCGGUGGUUAAACCGGAGGAAGGUGGGGGAUGACGUCAAGUCCUCAUGGCCUUUAUGACCAGGGCUACACACGUACUACAAUGGCCGAUACAAAGGGCAGCGACACUGCGAGGUGAAGCCAAUCCCGUAAAAUCGGUCUCAGUCCGGAUUGGAGUCUGCAACUCGACUCCAUGAAGUUGGAAUCGCUAGUAAUCGUGGAUCAGCAUGCCACGGUGAAUACGUUCCCGGGCCUU